UUUCUAUAUGCUAAAACCAAAAAUCAGAUUUUGGCCCUAACAUUACAAGUAUUCAAAAACCCCUCCUCCUUCUAAUUCCUCGUGAUCCUCUGUAAUCUUGAGGUAGUAAUGCAUGCAAUGUUCGAUUCCUGGGAAGCCUUGAAGCAACUACCUCCCUCUCCUUGCGACAGAACCGGGCAGCCAUCAAACCCUGCCUUCUUCCUCUUCUUCUUCCUCUCGCUAAAACUCAGAAGCAACAACUGCAUCCAACACAGCAGAAAACAACGAAGAAACUCAAAUCUACAGCAGUCAUAGGCUUCAUUCGUUCGCCCAAAUUUGAGGAAUUACAAGCACACAUCAACCAUUUUCUCUGAUUUAUGUUUAAACAAAUUAUCCUCCCAUUCCUUGGUUGCAGUAUUCCUCAAGAAAGGAUACGACUACGUCGAUGAACCCUUCUGGUUAAUUGCGGUGAACCGGUCUUGACUUCUCGAAGCGACAUUGUCGUUUGUUUGCAGAUCAAAACUGGUCGGGAACGAUGGGUUAGCGGUGAUGAUUAGAGUUACAGAGAUGUUAGAUUUUAGCUGAGUAAGUGAGAAGUGUAGUAUUGUAUUAGGUUUUUGAUCGAUGUAUAUUAGACUUGGUUGUGCUGGUUAUAUUGGACUUAUAGAAUGACUUUUAUGAUUACUUUGUGUUUUAGUUAAAUGUUUGGUUUGAGAAUUAGCUGUGUUUGUUACAUUAAAGAACUUGUGACUCCUUUGCUUAAGUUUUAGAAGUGUGAUAUAAGUUUCUUGGGAAAUAAAUCCCGUGAUGACCCUGUUUACUCGGUCAACGGUAAGUCAGGUUGUUACAUUGUUUGCUGCGAGCAUGCCUGAAGCCGAGCUAAAAGUCUCCGUAUUGAUUCAAGGCUCAACUAUCUGAGGAAACGUUUCAAUGCAUUACAAAAUACCAAACAAAAAGGUAGGGGCUUCGGAUGGGAUAAGAACCAAAAAAUGGUAACUGGUGACCGUAAGCUAUUUGAGGAUUGGGCCAAGAGUCACAAAGAUGCAAAAGGCAUGUUUCAGAAGCCUUUUCCAUUUUAUGAUCAUUUAGAGUUGAUUUAUUCCAAAGAUAGGGCGACGGGUUUAAAAGCUAUAAUUCCAGCUGAUUGGGAUGAUGAAGAGACAAUGCUCGAAGAUACAACAUCAAGUAAAGGCGAAGAAGUGUCUAGCGAAGUGUCGACCGACUAAUAAGAGAGUCGUAGAUGAGGGUUCUUCUAAGGACAAAGCCAAAAAAAGGUGCGUAAAAAUAAGGAGAUACAAAGUGUGCAAAAAAUUUAGAAAUUAUGUUGGAGAAGAUGAUAGAAGGCAACAACGCACAAAUUGAGAAGUUGGUUUCAGUGUUGGAAGCCCCAAAGAAUUGUAAAUCCGGUUUGCGUGAAGAACUAGGAAAGAUUCUUGGCAUUUCAAGAGCUCAAGCACUAUUGUUGUUGAAGAAGAUGACGGAGGAUGAUAUUGUGAUAUUCUUAUGAUGAUUAAGAUGAAGUGUAAAGCAAUUUGUUGUUAUGAGCUUUUGUAAGUGGUUGAAAAAUGCUACUGCAUUUACUUUUGGAUAUAUCAAACACUUACUUCCUUUGUACCAUUGUACCAAGCCAUUUCAUUACACCAAAAUUAGUUCUCUAGUACAAGUACCAAACCAAGGAAAUUUUGUUCCAUAAACUAUCUCUCCUUGUACUAAGUCUCAUGUACUCUUUUAUCUCAUAUUAAAUACCCAAUAACUUUUUUAAAGGAUUCCAGGCAAUCAGAAAAUAC